rnacentral:rRNA from 1 species
CAAGGCUAAAUACUCCUGACUGACCGAUAGUGAACCAGUACCGUGAGGGAAAGGCGAAAAGAACCCCGGCGAGGGGAGUGAAAAAGAACCUGAAACCGUGUACGUACAAGCAGUGGGAGCACGCUUAGGCGUGUGACUGCGUACCUUUUGUAUAAUGGGUCAGCGACUUAUAUUCUGUAGCAAGGUUAACCGAAUAGGGGAGCCGAAGGGAAACCGAGUCUUAACUGGGCGUUAAGUUGCAGGGUAUAGACCCGAAACCCGGUGAUCUAGCCAUGGGCAGGUUGAAGGUUGGGUAACACUAACUGGAGGACCGAACCGACUAAUGUUGAAAAAUUAGCGGAUGACUUGUGGCUGGGGGUGAAAGGCCAAUCAAACCGGGAGAUAGCUGGUUCUCCCCGAAAGCUAUUUAGGUAGCGCCUCGUGAAUUCAUCUCCGGGGGUAGAGCACUGUUUCGGCA